rnacentral:rRNA from 1 species
GAUGGGCGUCGACCGGCGCACGGGUGAGUAACGCGUAUCCAACCUGCCCACCACUUGGGGAUAACCUUGCGAAAGUAAGACUAAUACCCAAUGAUAUCUCUAGAAGACAUCUGAAAGGGAUUAAAGAUUCAUCGGUGAUGGAUGGGGAUGCGUCUGAUUAGCUUGUUGGCGGGGUAACGGCCCACCAAGGCGACGAUCAGUAGGGGUUCUGAGAGGAAGGUCCCCCACAUUGGAACUGAGACACGGUCCAAACUCCUACGGGAGGCAGCAGUGAGGAAUAUUGGUCAAUGGGCGAGAGCCUGAACCAGCCAAGUAGCGUGCAGGAUGACGGCCCUAUGGGUUGUAAACUGCUUUUAUAAGGGAAUAAAGUGAGAGUCGUGACUCUUUUUGCAUGUACCUUAUGAAUAAGGACCGGCUAAUUCCGUGCCAGCAGCCGCGGUAAUACGGAAGGUCCGGGCGUUAUCCGGAUUUAUUGGGUUUAAAGGGAGCGUAGGCCGGAGAUUAAGCGUGUUGUGAAAUGUAGAUGCUCAACAUCUGCACUGCAGCGCGAACUGGUUUCCUUGAGUACGCACAAAGUGGGCGGAAUUCGUGGUGUAGCGGUGAAAUGCUUAGAUAUCACGAAGAACUCCGAUUGCGAAGGCAGCUCACUGGAGCGCAACUGACGCUGAAGCUCGAAAGUGCGGGUAUCGAACAGGAUUAGAUACCCUGGUAGUCCGCACGGUAAACGAUGGAUGCCCGCUGUUGGUCUGAAUAGGU